rnacentral:rRNA from 1 species
AUUGAACGCUGGCGGCAUGCCUUACACAUGCAAGUCGAACGGUAACAGGUCUUCGGAUGCUGACGAGUGGCGAACGGGUGAGUAAUACAUCGGAACGUGCCUAGUAGUGGGGGAUAACUACUCGAAAGAGUGGCUAAUACCGCAUGAGAUCUAUGGAUGAAAGCAGGGGAUCGCAAGACCUUGUGCUACUAGAGCGGCCGAUGGCAGAUUAGGUAGUUGGUGGGAUAAAAGCUUACCAAGCCGACGAUCUGUAGCUGGUCUGAGAGGACGAUCAGCCACACUGGGACUGAGACACGGCCCAGACUCCUACGGGAGGCAGCAGUGGGGAAUUUUGGACAAUGGGCGCAAGCCUGAUCCAGCAAUGCCGCGUGCAGGAUGAAGGCCUUCGGGUUGUAAGCUGCUUUUGUACGGAACGAAACGGCUCUCACUAAUACUGGGGGCUAAUGACGGUACCGUAAGAAUAAGCACCGGCUAACUACGUGCCAGCAGCCGCAGUAACAC